UAUUUUAAAAAAUAAAAAUUAAUUGCAUCGGCAUACAUUAUUGUUCACAUUAUUUCCAAUUGCAGUUUUAUCAAACUUCACAAGGAAAGAUCAAUCAAUCUCAAGUUAUUGGCAGCACCAACAAUUAGAACAAUUGAAGAUGAAAUAAAUAAAGGCAGUGCAAAAUUCAUGGCUAUUUCAGAGUUGACUGGUCAACAGGUUUAAUAUUACAUAAUUUUAUAUUUUUUAAUAUUAAAUUUUCGAAACAUUUAAAUAAUAUAUUUUCGUGUUUUUUAAGAGGGGAAUGUACUGGAUAUAUGGCACAAUAUGUUCUGUAUCAACGCUUCGAGCUUGGGCUUACUUAGCAUGCAACAUAUGCCUAAAAAAACUGAAAGCAAAUGAUGAUAAAAUUUUUUGUGACAACUGUGCAAGCUUUGAUGUUUCAGGAAAAAUGAGGUAAAUCCAUUUUAAGAUAUUUGGAAAAUACUAUUGUUUAUGACUUACUAACAUGUUAUCUAAUAAAAAAAUAGGUAUAGACUAAGAGUAUAUGUUGCUGAUAAUUCUGGAGGUGUUUCUUUAAGCUUAUGGGAUAGGGAGUGCUUACAACUAAUUGGGAAACCUGCUGAAGAAAUAAUAUAUGUAAGUGAAUGCAAAAUAAAAUUAUGGAGAUAAUUCUAAAGUUAUUAAUUUAAAUUAAAAAAUUUGCAGGAUCCUAAUAGCAAUGAGUUGCCAAUUGAGAUAGAUGCUAUCACCAACAAAAAUGCUCUAUUUAAAAUUAAAGUUGAAGAAUCAACGAUUUUUGAUGGAGCAUAUGUUGUGACAAAAAUCAACUGCGACCCAAAUAUUUUAAAUAAAUAUUGUGGGUCAAUA
rnacentral:lncRNA from 1 species